rnacentral:misc_RNA from 1 species
AACGCACGAGACCUGCGGACCUGCGGAAGGAUCAUUACUGAGUGAGGGCCCUCUGGGUCCAACCUCCCACCCGUGUCUCUUGUACCAUGUUGCUUCGGCGAGCCCGCCUCACGGCCGCCGGGGGGCAUCUGCCCCCGGGCCCGCGCCCGCCGAAGCCCCCUCUGAACGCUGUCUGAAGAUUGCAGUCUGAGCGAUAAGCAAAAAUUAUUUAAAACUUUCAGCAAUGGAUCUCUAGAUCGG